CCUACGGGCGGCAGCAGUGAGGAAUAUUGGUCAAUGGACGAGAGUCUGAACCAGCCAAGUAGCGUGAAGGAUGACUGCCCUAUGGGUUGUAACCUUCUUUUAUAAAGGAAUAAAACGAGGCACGUGUGCCUUUUUGCAUGUACUUUAUGAAUAAGGAUCGGCUAACUCCGUGCCAGCAGCCGCGGUAAUACGGAGGAUCCGAGCGUUAUCCGGAUUUAUUGGGUUUAAAGGGAGCGUAGAUGGGUUGUUAAGUCAGUUGUGAAAGUUUGCGGCUCAACCGUAAAAUUGCAAUUGAUACUGGCAGUCUUGAGUACAGGUGAGGUAGGCGGAAUUCGUGGUGUAGCGGUGAAAUGCUUAGAUAUCACGAAGAACCCCGAUUGCGAAGGCAGCUUACUAAACUGUGACUGACAUUGAUGCUCGAAAGUGUGGGUAUCAAACAGGAUUAGAUACCCUUGUAGUC
rnacentral:rRNA from 1 species